rnacentral:lncRNA from 1 species
AAAAUCUCUAAUUUGGCAUUGAAAUUAGAAAGAUCAUGUCAAAGGGAACAUGUUUAUUAAGUUUCAAGUUGAUUGGAUUUCAACUUCAUCAAAAACUACCUCAACCAAAAACUUUAACCUGAAGUAGGACAGAUGGAUGGAUGAAUGGACAGAUGGAUGAAUGGACGAAUGGAUGAAUGGACGAACAAACAGACGAAUGAACAGACA